UGGACGCUAUUUUUUUUUUCUAUUUUUUUUUUAUUAGUAAUUAGAGUCUAUUUUCUUACUCAACGUUUUGCUCAUAAGAUUGACAGUAAAUAUGAUAAUCUAAUUAUCUAAUACUGUAUAGAUCUAAAUAGAAAAAUAAAACUAAAUCUAGUAUCUUUAUUGCAACACUAGAUCUACUGAUCUAAUGAAUUUGAUGAGCAUACUGAGCACAACAUUUAUAUUGAAGUAAAAUCUCUUGUUUUUAGAGAUAUUUACCAAAGUAAUUGGUACAGUUCCUCAAUCAUCAAAGACAAAGUGUGUUCUCAGAACUUACUAUUUGUUCUUCAUAGAACAUAUCAACACAGUGCUCUGAGUACAUUAAGUAGAAAAUGGAGAAUGCAGGUGUAACCCUUAGUGAUUGUGCUAUGGUGGCUGGCAGUGACCAAUUAGGCAAGAGGAAAAACUCACCUGGUGCUGAAAAUAACAUUGAGAGUAAAGUUCCCAAAGUUGGUGAAUCAAAAGAAGAAUCAGAAAGCCAAAACCAGCGUGGUAAUAAGAAAAAGGGCUCAGCUGGAAAGCAUCUCAAAUGUGAUGUCUGCAGCAGGUUAUUUGGGGAUAACUAUAAAUUAAAUAGGCAUAAACUUAUUCACACUGGAGAAAAGCCUUUUAAGUGUGAGUACUGCCAGAAAUGUUUUGCACGGAAGGACAAAUACACACCACAUGUCAGACGUCAUGUGGAGAACGGCACAGACAAAGUAACGGCUGUUAAAAGUCACUAAAAGUGCAUUAACUUGAAACUUUGCAAAUCUUGUAUGUUGUUGUUAGGAUGUUUUGCUGAUUUAGUUUUAUGUUCUUGAAGUUGACCAGAUAUAUUCCAAGCAAAGCAUUUCUAUUACUGUUCUAGGGUGGGAUGAUUACAAAUUUACACUUUAAAGAAUUCACUUAAUAAUUUGUUUUCUGGAUAAAAUUUAGAUCAGGGGUUCUCAACCUAUAGGUCGCGGCCCUCUUGGAGGUCAAAUGACAAUUUUCCAGAGGUUUCCUAAGACAAUUAAAAAAUAGAUUUUUGUCUAAAAACUUGACAUUAGUCACAUUAUACAAAAUUUGCAUGGGUAGCUACUUUUUUUUUUUUUUCGUACUAUGAUUCUCAGAAUAGAUGUUGCAUACAACUAAAUUAGAAUACUUCCAAUCUUCUAAUUGUCACAGUAUAAGUAUUUGUAACAGUUUAAACUACUGUCCAUCAAUCAGUGUAACAAAACGCAAUGAUACACAUUGCAGAAGCCAAUGUAUUAUUACUGUGGUGAAGAUUUACUCACUUAAUUUAAAACAACAUCUGUUUAUAAAUGGUAAUAUGCCAUCAAUUUAUAGUCUGUGCUAGAAAAGGUAAUGAUUUCAUGAUGGAACAACCUGUGAAAAUGAAUCUAAUGAAAAGAAAAUAUUACGAUUUUCACUUCUGGUAUAUGGUUUUACUUCAAUAAUUAAAGCAUGAAUUGAGAAACCACAAUGUAAUGUAAUUAGUAAUGAAGUUGUUUUAACAGAAUCAAUGAAGCCAAACAAUCUGAAACAUCAAACAAGCUUUAUCGAUGACUGCAUAAAGUUUUUAUUUAGAAAACACAACCAGAAUUGUAAGCAUAUUAUAAUGGUGAAAAUGAACUACAGAAAAUAUCUCCUGUUUGACAUUUUGGUCAUCCUAAAUGGGUUCAAUUUCCAAAAACAUAUCUUUGCAAAACAGAAUUGUCCAACUUGUUCAAUACAGAAGUAGGUGACAUUCAUUGUGAUCUUGUACAACCUAAACAAUGACGUUGAUGUUUUUCACAAACUGGCGCAACAAUUUUGCUGCAAUGUAGAAUACAGUUGCCUUAGCUGUUUACUUUUCUCCUUAGUGCUUUCUAAUUGCCAUAUAAGUAUAAAAGAUGAAUAUGGUGACCAUGCGAUAUAAAAGUAAAUAAAUGCAGGUAAUAUAAUUAUUAUAAAGGUAAAAUUUCAUUUAAUUGUAAUUAAGUUAUUAGCAGAAAUAUUUAGUGUUUCGUGAUUAAACAUACAGCUUUUGCAAUUCUUAUAAGAUAUUUACAUUAUGAUUACGAUUUAUAACAUUAGCAAAAACAUAUUUUAGUUUUGAAAGUCGCAAUUUAGUAGACAAUUGUAAAAAGGGGCAGCAGGACUAAAAAGGUUGAGAACCGCUGAUUUAGAUAGAGAUAUGUCUAGAAUGAUAAGAGAUAGAGAUAUGUCUAGAAUGAUAAGCCAAAAUUACACAUAUUUUUUUUAAAUAGAACACAUUAUUUUUUUAAGUGGAGCCUAUGACCUUUAUAAAAUAUAGUUUUAAAUUGAAUACUCAAAUGAUUUACACUUAUGAUAUGCCAGCUGCAAAGUUACAUACUUCAUUGUGUGAGCAUCCAACAAGCCCCAUGACAUAAUGCAUGUUUUUUCUCUUGGGCUUGGAAUGAUCCAACUGUAAUUAUUCAUUUUAGCUGAACUUUUUAUGAAGUUAAUAUCACUGAAAAAAAUGAUUAAGUUCUUAUUUGUUCAGUCUGUAAUAUGUGCAUCUAAUUAUCAACAAAGUAAAUAAUUUGACUUCAUUAAACAACCAACCUUGCAACAAAAAUUUUUCUUGUAAAAAAAAAUUGAUGUAUGAUCUCUUUUACAGCAUUUUUCAUUUUAUUGUCACUUUUUUGUUUCCUCAUGUACUUGUUCUACAUUAAUUAUUGUUCUCUCCUUAGAAAUAUAUUAUCAUAUAUAUAUAUAUAUAUAUAUAUAUAGACUUAUUGAUUGCAUUAUUUUAAGUCUUUUUUUUUAUUUCCUCACUUGCAUCUUUUUAUGUAUAUACUUUAAAGCGUUUUUUUUUUUUUCGGCUUAUAAAUUGGGAUAAAGUAUUUUUACAAAAUUAGGAAUUUAACCAGGAGAUACAAUGUUAAGGGUUGAGUAAUUUUUAUUAAUUGUAAACUCAUGAUUAAUAAAUUAAUUUCAUUUUGAUUGAUUUAACAAAAUUCUGUAAAUGUUAUAUGAUUAAAAAAAAGAUUACUUGUAUCCGCUAAUCUUUAUAUAUUAAACAGUCUGAAAAGUGUCAUUUUAACUGAA